rnacentral:rRNA from 1 species
UACGUAGGUGGCGAGCGUUGUCCGGAAUUACUGGGUGUAAAGGGCGUGUAGGCGGGGAUGCAAGUCAGAUGUGAAAUUCCAGAGCUUAACUCUGGCGCUGCAUCUGAAACUGUAUCUCUUGAGUACUGGAGAGGAAAGUGGAAUUCCUAGUGUAGCGGUGAAAUGCGUAGAGAUUAGGAGGAACACAAGUGGCGAAGGCGGCUUUCUGGACAGUAACUGACGCUGAGGCGCGAAAGCGUGGGGAGCAAACAGG